rnacentral:rRNA from 1 species
CCUACGGGAGGCAGCAGUGAGGAAUAUUGGUCAAUGGCCGAGAGGCUGAACCAGCCAAGUCGCGUGAGGGAAGACGGCCCUAUGGGUUGUAAACCUCUUUUGUCGGGGAGCAAAGAGAGUCACGUGUGACUCAUUGAGAGUACCCGAAGAAAAAGUAUCGGCAAACGCCGUGCCCGCCGCCGCGGUAAUACGGAGGAUGCGAGCGUUAUCCGGAUUUAUUGGGUUUAAAGGGUGCGCAGGCGGAGGUGCAAGUCAGCGGUAAAAUUGCGGGGCGCAACCCCGUACUGCCGUUGAAACUGCAUCCCUUGAGUGCGCGAGAAGUAUGCGGAAUGCGUGGUGUAGCGGUGAAAUGCAUAGAUAUCACGCAGAACUCCGAUUGCGAAGGCAGCAUACCGGCGCGCAACUGACGCUCAUGCACGAAAGCGUGGGUAUCGAACAGGAUUAGAUACCCCUGUAGUC